GUUCAGAUAGGUAAAGUUUUAUAAUAAUGGUUUUUCAAGCCAUAGGUCUUGGGGAGGAUCCAAGCAGGAACU
rnacentral:tRNA from 1 species